AGCCAUUACCAGGCUGAUAAGUGUUGCUGAGGAGAAGGAGGGAAGCUGCCCCAAAGAGCCCCAUCCUCUGCCCCCGGCCCUAGCGCGCUACGCCGGGGUGGGGGGAUGGACAGAAAGGGCUGUUACCUGCGGCAGAAGAUGCUGGGAUCAGUUCCAGCACAACUGUGAAACAGAUGAAGAACUUAGGAAAAGAAUUAAAAUACCUACAGAGAAUACUUUAUGUAGUACUGUGAGCCUAACCAAUACCCUAUUCCCUUGUCAGCUAAACAAUUUCUUAGAAAAAUAUUUCUCAACAUUAGACAUUUUAGUACUUUAUAGCAGUAGCUGUAUGUAUUAAUUUUGUGUAUUUAUUAAAAUUACAAAAAUCAA